GGUUGUGUAGUGUAGUGGUCAUCACUCCAGAUUUUGAUUCUGGUAACCCCGGUUCGAACCCGGGCACGACCU